rnacentral:rRNA from 1 species
AGUGAACGCUGACGGUAGGCCUAACACAUGCAAGUCGAACGGCAGCACAGUAAGAGCUUGCUCUUACGGGUGGCGAGUGGCGGACGGGUGAGGAAUACAUCGGAAUCUACUUUUUCGUGGGGGAUAACGUAGGGAAACUUACGCUAAUACCGCAUACGACCUACGGGUGAAAGUAGGGGAUCUUCGGACCUUGCGCGAUUGAAUGAGCCGAUGUCGGAUUAGCUAGUUGGCGGGGUAAAGGCCCACCAAGGCGACGAUCCGUAGCUGGUCUGAGAGGAUGAUCAGCCACACUGGAACUGAGACACGGUCCAGACUCCUACGGGAGGCAGCAGUGGGGAAUAUUGGACAAUGGGCGCAAGCCUGAUCCAGCCAUACCGCGUGGGUGAAGAAGGCCUUCGGGUUGUAAAGCCCUUUUGUUGGGAAAGAAAAGCAGCAGGUUAAUACCCCGCUGUUCUGACGGUACCCAAAGAAUAAGCACCGGCUAACUUCGUG